CCUGCACAAAGCCGCGUCCUCGCGUCCCCGCGUCCCCGCCGCCGCCUCGGGCCGCCGCGCGCGGCCCCUCCUCCUCUCCUCCCGCCGCCGCCUCGGCCGCUUCUUCCGCUUUUUUUUUUUUUUAAUUUAGAUGUGAUGUUUGUUUCGAGCUCUCGCCUUGCGCACGGUUAAAGUCGCGGCGGCAGAAUUAUCGGAAGAUUCCUGCAGGGGAAAGAAGAGAGAGACGAGUCAGCUCCGGCGCCGGCGGAGCCCCGGCUCUCGGCACCUGGGGAAGGAAAACACGCCCCAACACACGCGCCUCUGCGGGCGCCAAAAAUAACCCGCGCGGGCCGGGCGCCCACCCCGGGGCAACCCGCGCCCACCUCAGGGGCCCCAGGCACCCACCCCGAGGUAACGGGGCGCCCACGUCAGGGGCUCGGGGCGCGCUUCCCCGGGGCUCAGAGCAACUGGGGUCGGAGCACCCGCCACGCAGGAAAAGGCGCCCACCUCCGGCGAAGGGCGAGGGGAAGUGGCGGCCGCCCCGACACUCUCUGGACACGCGGAGGCGGCUCCCGAGGAUCUCCCGGCCCCGGGCGGGCGGGGGGCGACGCGUGGGUCUCUCCGGACCCUAACUCCCCAGAGGCUGCCGCGUGCCGAGCUCUGUCACGUCCCCUCAGAGCCCCGUUAAGGCCCGCGGCGCCGAGAGGAAGCCCACGGCGGGCAGGGGCGGCCGGGUAUGACAAUCGCCGUGCGGCCCCGGGGCAGCUCCCGGAGGGGGCAGCCCAGACCCACCCCACCCGCCGGCUGCUGUCUCCUCCCGAGCUCGGCGCUGCCCCCUACAGGCCGCGUGGUCCCUCCUCGGUCGCCCCCUGACCCACCAUGAGCCGCCUAGCUCCCUGUCGAGAUUGCCGCCGUCGCGGCUGCUGUCACCGAGGCCGGGUCAUCGGGCCGCGGGGACCUCAAAGCCGAGUGGACGGGAGCCCCAAGUCAUUGCCUAUCCUUCGCCUCCCCAGAGCUGCUGCAACUGUCAGUCACCCACCCGGAACCCCGAGGGGCAACUACCAAGUAGGCCUCGGGGCCCGGAACAAGGGUCCCGGGGCUCAGGAUCUCGGCCGCUGCGCCUCACUCCUGCCCCAGCCCCGCGCACGGAACUCGUUUCCUUCCCACCCAGUUCGGGACACUCCUCUCUGACUUCCCCAGAUCUCACUUGCAGCGCUACAGCCAGUCCCUCUUCUGGUUCUCACGCACCCACUUAAGGCGGAGUGACUGGCCUAAAAGUCCAAGCUGAUCGUGUGGCUUCCGUUCGUAAAUAUCUCCCCUGGAUCUCCCUCCCUGGAGCCAGACAAGACUCAAAACUCCGAAGGGAAUGCAGUCCCCGCAGGGCGCAAAGGAGAAACUAAUAGUCCAGAGGCGGGGUGAACUUAAAGACCUGGCUUUCAUUAGCGUGGUGUUGUAACAGACUGCCAAGGAGCCUCUGAGGAAAUGGAUUUACGUACAUAUACAUACUCGCCCUUGCCCCUGAAGCAACAUCAAAUACUUUCAUGUUAUUCUUGGGGGCGUUUUAAUUCUUCCGAUCCUCUGAAUUCGUGUUUUUGUACAUCUCUUUCCAACCUGGGCCUACACACUAACAGAAAUAGUUUUUUACAUCGAAGGACAAUGCUUAGUGUUUUAUUCAGUCUCAGCUCUUUUCUUUCUUUUUUCUCGUUGUGUUUCAAAAUGUUUAUUUUUUCUGUCUUGUGAUAGUUUUGGAGGAAAAAUAUUGAAAUAAUUCAAAUCAGGCUCUUAACUCUGCUUUAUUAAAUUUAUAGUCAUAGUAGCCUGUGAGUAUGCUUCGGGGGAGGAAAAAAGAAUGCUGGGGUCUUUAUUCUUCAAGUUCUCUAAGUUUGAUAUUUUGAAUAAACACCCAGAGGUGUCUCUGCCUUUUGUGUGUUAGUAUCUAAUCUUUCCUGCAUUUACGAGUCACUAGUAAAAUGCUAUGAAAGCCAUAGAUCCCAUGGCUCUCACUGUGAUUUUCCUGGGCUGAGUAGGGACUUAGUGAUGUUUAACCCCCAGUAUGCUUUUUAUAGAAGCACCAGCUGAUUCACCAGUGCCCUCCAAAGUGAGCACCUAUCCAUCUCACUCUGGACUCCCAACAGGUCAUACCAGGGAGCUUCGUUGAAAUAGACUUGGCAUUUAAAUUAAAAUGUUUCCCAAAGCAUCUUGGCAGACCUGUAACUAAUGAUGCCAGAGGCCCAAGGCCUGUGCCAGGUUCCCUUUUAUUCCCAUAAGUGCUUGUCUCCCACAAGCCACUGGUCACACGCCUGCUGAUGUUAUAGAAGCACUUCUUCAUCCCACAAACAGCCCAACUGUAGGUACCCUAUCUCAGACAUGGUGAAGGGAAGCAGCAUGUUCCUCUGACAUGUGCGAUGCUUGGCUCCCAACAGGCUUUUUAUAAUAAGCUAAACUCAGAUUUUUUCAUCACAAAUAGCGU
rnacentral:lncRNA from 10 species